UCACUCUCUCUCACUUCAGCUAUCUUCCAAACACCACAGCCGAGAAAACUCUUCUCUGAAAUCCGCCAUUAUCAAAACCAUAUUUUUUUUUGCCUUUGUUUCUGUUCUAUUCUCCCAAACUCUUCAUAACCGGAGCUCCAAAGAAAAACUGAAAAGCCAUUUUCUUCUUCAUCUCUUCAAUCCAUCUGCUAAAAGACUGUCUCUUCUCUAUCUAGUAUCAUUCCAGAUCUAAAAAAUUUGUCUGAAGAAAAUUUCUCUGAAAAUAAAUUUAUGUGAAAGCAAAUUUGUCUGAGAGAAUACUCGACCGUGUAAGUCUAUUUCACUAUAUUUUCUUAGGUUUUGGUUCCAUGUUAUGGUAGAUUGAUAUGUGCAGGAUUUGGUUUCAUCUUUUUGUUCUAAUUUCUUUAGAUUGAUAGUCUCUUUUUGUUAUAUUGCAGCUGGAAGGUUAAACCGAGAACUAUUUUAAGUGAAAAACUAAUGUAUGGUUUCAUCUUUUUGUCUUAGUUUUAUCUUUUGGGUUAAUUUUAGGUCACACUAAACUCAACAAGUUACAGAGUCUAAACAGCUUCCUUUGCCUUCCAAGUCUCAAAUUAAGACGACUAUUGGCCGGUUCUUCAUUUUGAAACUUCAAAUUCGUAAGUUAAAGGUUCAUCAUUUAAAGUUUAAACUACCACUUGUUAGUAAGUUUUUCUCUCUAUUUUGCUUCUUAUCCAAACUAAAACCUUUAAUAUCUAUAGAGAUGAUCAUGUGUAGUGUUUCUCAAAGGGAUUACCAUACGAUUAUAGAGAUGGUCAUGUGUAGUUACUUUACAUGGAUUAUUAUUCAUGGACUCGUGGUUAUGUAUAAAUUUGAAACACCUAACAGAAAUGUACAAUGCCCACACACUGUUUGAUAAAAUAACUUAAAGAAGUACCUACAAAUUGAUUAUACUUUUAGGAUUUUCAAGAGGUUUUGUUUUUUGGGUUUUGUUUAUCUACGAUCCUAGGGUAAUGUCCUCAUAAUAUGUUCUUUAUUCUUGAUGGAGUGUGCUUGUACUGUGUAAUUGAUGGAUGAUGGAUUGAAGGUAAGGUGUCAAACAUUUUUUACUGGAUAUGGAUGAAAUGCAAGUUGUUUUCUGUUAAUUCUUGACUCCAUAUUUCAUAAUACGGAAGUGGGUAGAGACUUUGGAGGAAACUUCAGUCACGAGCCUGCGUACAUUGGGCGAUCUUGGUUCCAAGAUGUAUGUGCAAGAGUUGUCCUUCAAGGUCCUGGGCCUCUCUAUGGACAUGCAAUGGACUUGGUCGGUCAAAGUUUUCUUGUUGCUGUUAGUGGCAAGAUGGUGAAUCCAAUAUGCAACAACUCUUGUCUGCGUUGUGGUUUGAGUCAUGCAGAUAAUCUUGCAGGCUUCUCUUACAGUGGCCUCAGUAAAAGCUUGCCUAGGUUGUAGAACGCUGAACAAGGAUCCAGACCAUAUGGCUUCGUUUAGUUUCGCUUACUUUUUCAUAUUGUUUUUUUUAAUAUUCUGUAUCUCUGGUUUAUAUCUAUAGUUAUCUGCAUUUGGUACUGGAUAGAUUCACUGAUACCAGUUACUACUUUUGUUGUGUAGGCUUCUGUUACACGGGCCUCAGUAAAAGCUUUCCUAGGUUGUAGAACGCUGAACAAGGAUCCGGACUCUAUGGCUUCGCUUAAUUUCGCUUACUUGUUCAUAUUAUUUUCUUCUCAGGGUAUCUGCUCUCUAUGUUACAGAGUUUCAACUUUCAACGGUUAAUGAAAUUUUAACCUUGCUUAAACACAAGAAGGGAUGCUUUACAGAGACUGAUCAUGUUCCACUAGUUGGAAGAUGGAUGGUAUCGAUGAAUCUGUACUAGAUCGUCUCUCCAUGGAUUUGUGAUGCUGUCCUCAAGCAUUGGGAACUUGUCAAUAGUUGUUUGCUGUUCUUGAAUUGUUGGCUCAGUUCGUCAUCUGGCAGGAUCUCGUUUUGCUGGUUUACAAUUAUCCUUAUGAACCUUAGAACUUAAAUAUAUGUCUUGUAUGAAUUCAGGCCUUUUGUUUGUUUUCUUUUGUGAUUCCGAAUCUAAGUGUAAACUGAAUUCAGUUAUGAAUUGUGUAACAAAAUACAACGGUUUUUAUUUAUAACCAUUUGAGUUUAUAAAUCCAAGUUUUA